rnacentral:rRNA from 1 species
UACGUAGGGGGCAAGCGUUAUCCGGAUUUACUGGGUGUAAAGGGAGCGUAGACGGUAAUGCAAGUCUGGAGUGAAAGGCGGGGGCCCAACCCCCGGACUGCUCUGGAAACUGUAUAGCUGGAGUGCAGGAGAGGUAAGUGGAAUUCCUAGUGUAGCGGUGAAAUGCGUAGAUAUUAGGAGGAACACCAGUGGCGAAGGCGGCUUACUGGACUGUAACUGACGUUGAGGCUCGAAAGCGUGGGGAGCAAACAGG